rnacentral:rRNA from 1 species
GGUCCUACGGGAGGCAGCAGUGAGGAAUAUUGGUCAAUGGGCUUACGCCUGAACCAGCCAAGUCGCGUGAGGGAAGACUGCCCUAUGGGUUGUAAACCUCUUUUGUCAGGGAGCAAUUGGCGCUACGUGUAGCGUUAUCGAGAGUACCUGAAGAAAAAGCAUCGGCUAACUCCGUGCCAGCAGCCGCGGUAAUACGGAGGAUGCGAGCGUUAUCCGGAUUUAUUGGGCGUAAAGCGAGUGCAGGCGGUUCAAUAAGUCUGAUGGGAAA